rnacentral:tRNA from 1 species
GCGAGAGUGGCGGAAUUGGCAGACGCGCUGGACUUAGGAUCCAGUGGGGUAACCCGUGUGGGUUCGAGUCCCACCUCUCGCA